rnacentral:snRNA from 1 species
UGAGCAUGCCUGUCGGGA